UGUCUUUGUUCUUUGUUUGUUUGUUUUUUUGUUUUUUUUUUUUUUUUUUUUGUCUCUGUUGGUCUGUUGGUUUGGUCUUCGAGUCAUUUUCGAGUCAUUUGGCAAUGUUAUGAUGGAUGAUGUGAAGAGUUGAAAUUAGGAUAUUGGAUUUGGUAUGAUAGGCUGUUGCUCUUGUGAUGGAAUUAUGCAUAUGUUUGUAGGUGUUCUUGUAUGAGAAAAACGUGCAAAAUUUGAUCAAAAUUACUUGAAGCCUACUAAAUUGUGAGGAUUGAGCCCUAAUGAGCACACAUGACUUUCUCUAAUUGUUUCUUUGAUGAGUGAUUGAUUCGAACUUCAAUGCCGAAUUUCUGGUUUGCCUUGUUGCCAUAGUCAAGACUGAGUUUGAGAAUUUAAUGCAUGAAAAUGAUUAAGGCAUUUUGGAAUAACCAUUGUUUGGCCUGAACAUAUUAUCCGAAACUUCACUAUUCCCUUAGUGAGCCCGUUUGUGCCUAAUUUGCUCCUUUUUGUUUGAUGAAAAC
rnacentral:lncRNA from 1 species